rnacentral:rRNA from 1 species
AUUAAAAACCAAUGCCCUUCGGGGCUCUCUGGUGAUUCAUAAUAACUUCUCGAAUCGCACGGCCUUGCGCCGGCGAUGGUUCAUUCAAAUUUCUGCCCUAUCAACUUUCGACGGCUGGGUCUUGGCCAGCCGUGGUGACAACGGGUAACGGAGGGUUAGGGCUCGACCCCGGAGAAGGAGCCUGAGAAACGGCUACUACAUCCAAGGAAGGCAGCAGGCGCGCAAAUUACCCAAUCCCGACACGGGGAGGUAGUGACAAUAAAUACUGAUACAGGGCUCUUUCGGGUCUUGUAAUUGGAAUGAGUACAAUCUAAAUCCCUUAACGAGGAACAAUUGGAGGGCAAGUCUGGUGCCAGCAGCCGCGGUAAUUCCAGCUCCAAUAGCGUAUAUUAAAGUUGUUGAGGUUAAAAAGCUCGUAGUUGAACCUUGGGCCUAGCCGGCCGGUCCGCCUCACCGCGUGCACUGGCUCGGCUGGGUCUUUCCUUCUGGAGAACCGCAUGCCCUUCACUGGGUGUGCC